rnacentral:rRNA from 1 species
CCUACGGGAGGCUGCAGUCGAGAAUCAUUCACAAUGGGGGAAACCCUGAUGGUGCGACGCCGCGUGGGGGAAUGAAGGUCUUCGGAUUGUAAACCCCUGUCAUGUGGGAGCAAAUUAAAAAGAUAGUACCACAAGAGGAAGAGACGGCUAACUCUGUGCCAGCAGCCGCGGUAAUACAGAGGUCUCAAGCGUUGUUCGGAAUCACUGGGCGUAAGGCGUGCGUAGGCUGUUUCGUAAGUCGUGUGUGAAAGGCGCGGGCUCAACCCGCGGACGGCACAUGUUACUGCGAGACUAGAGUAAUGGAGGGGGAACCGGAAUUCUCGGUGUAGCAGUGAAAUGCGUAGAUAUCGAGAGGAACACUCGUGGCGAAGGCGGGUUCCUGGACAUUAACUGACGCUGAGGCACGAAGGCCAGGGGAGCGAAAGGGAUUAGAUACCCCGGUAGUC